UCAGGAUUCUCUUGUUCUAGUCAGUUCUCCUUCAUUCUAAAAAGUGAAUCAACAGAUCAGUUGGGAUCCACAAAAGGCUUUUAAAACUCUUCUGUGCUAUAUGUAUAGAAUAUACUAUCCCAGGAUCCAAGAAUGACCUUCCAGGCUUUUGAGUCCUGUUAUCCUGCCGCUGAAAAAGGAGGAACCUUGUGAUAAUCAACUGUUUCUUCAUUUAGAAGAGUCACAUAUUUCUCCCCCCCUACAAAUUAAUUGCUUUUACUGCAUUAUCAAAUACAAAUAAUGUAUUAUAGAAUGCAGAUAGUAACUAAGUACAGUGGCAUUGAUACAAUGGAAACUAGAAAUUGCGAACGCUGUGAUGAUUAAGAUAAAUUAAACAUUUAAAGAUGAUCAAAAGA